rnacentral:pre_miRNA from 1 species
AAUAAAUGCAGUUGUGAAAAUUCGUGUUCAACGUUUGACUAUCCGUCUUAUUUUAAAAAAAUUAGUCACACAUAAAGUACUAUUCAUAUUUUAUCAUCUAAUAGCAAUAAAAAUAGUAAUCAUAUUUUUUUUCAAAUAAAACGAACGGUUAAACGUUGGAGAUGAAUAGUGCAAAACUAUAUUUAUU